AGACUAUUGGUGUAAUGGAAACACGGCGGUCUCAUAAAUCGCAGCUAUAGGUUCGAGUCCUGUGUAGUCUU
rnacentral:tRNA from 1 species